rnacentral:rRNA from 1 species
UACGUAGGGUGCAAGCGUUUAAUCGGAAUUACUGGGCGUAAAGCGUGCGCAGGCGGUUCUAUAAGACAGAUGUGAAAUCCCCGGGCUCAACCUGGGAACUGCAUUUGUGACUGUAGAGCUGGAGUGCGGCAGAGGGGGAUGGAAUCCGCGUGUAGCAGUGAAAUGCGUAGAUAUGCGGAGGAACACCGAUGGCGAAGGUAAUCCCCUGGGCCUGCACUGACGCUCAUGCACGAAAGCGUGGGGAGCAAACAGG